AUUCAGCCUCUGUCACACUCUGUGGAUCAGAAACAACCUGGUGAAAUAUUGAAGAAGAUGUACAGAAAAAAAUUGCCAGAUACAUCAGGUGCAAGCGUCGUUACCGAAGGGAGUGAGCCUUCUCCUUCAAACUCUCAGUCAUUGCACUUCCCAUCCGACAUCGGUGGUAUAGAAAACCAAGGUUUCAGCUCGUCGGAUAUCAGACUKCAGGAGUUGGGUUUCAGAAAUGACAGAUCAACAAAUCUAAGCAUUUAAUGGCUCACCAUGCACGGCUUUGGAUCGAACAAGAUAAAAAARAWAAGCCCUUUCUUUAAACACGAUGUAAAUAUUGUAGAUGGCUCAUAGGUCAUCAGAAAAGUUUGUAGAAUAAGAUGUUUUCAGUGCUGCUUGCAUAGUUAUCAAAGUGUUAUUAAAGAUUUCAUUUGUGUUUCUUCAAGCAUAUUUUUUUCUCGGAAAAUAUGCUUGAAGAAACAUAAAUAAAAUCUUUCAUUUGUAGAAUAAGAUGUGACAAAACAACAAGAGGAAAUUGAUCAAAAAGACAAACUCACUUUGUAAUAUGGCCCUAAAUCACUUUGACUUUUGAACUUUUGACAUUUUUGAUUUUGAAUUUUUUUUUGUCCGCACCCGGGCCGGCCACCAUAUUUCUUUAAYAAGCUGGCGUUUACACUGCUGUGGCUGUCGUUUAAUUCAGUACAACUGAGAAUUAAAAAGGGGUUAUCCGAAAUAUAACAAACAAACAAAAAAUAUUUUCAUAUUUUAUGUUUGUUAUAUUGCCAAGGGGCAGCUAUGGUUGAAGAUAUUCAGUAUUUGAUAUCAUAGGACAAAUGACGGAUACAAAGUUUUAUUAAAUUUCCGGAUACGUGUGGACGGGGCCUAAUAAACUGAAAUGAAAGAUCAAAUGAACAUAAAGYGUGUUAAGGAUCCCAACUGGUAARGAGGCUAUUAAAAAGCAUGGUCRAGAAACUGAAUCUGAACUAAUCAGGAAUCAGAACGAAUACAGUCUCAGCUAGUGGCCACAGCGGGGCUCAAACCCGGCACCACCGGAUUGCGAGACCGACUAUGACCACUCGGCCAUGCUGCCUCCCUCAUUUAACGUAUACUCCCUCYUAUUACGGUCCUUUGGAGUCGUAAACAAUGUCCGAUAAGUGUUUGCAUAUUUAAGCGAUCAAUACAAUAAAAUCGUUAAAUGCUU